AGAGGACAACGCUCUAAAUUAAGUCAGCCAAUACCGCAUGACCCCACCUGUUCGGGAAAUCUCAAAACACUGUACUCACAGAAGUGGAACUGUGGCUAAGAUCUGUGCUACAAAUACCUCACCCACAUCUGGAGCUGCCUUCACUCACCUUCCAUGACAUCAUGUGACGACCAGAGCUUCUGUACUUUUAAGGAUUUUCGAGACGAGGUCUCACUGUGAGCUCAGAUAGGCCUCAAAGUCAAGCUAGCGCUUUUCUUUAAAACGAUGCCUCUCGCUGACCCUGGAGAUCACCAGUUGGGCCAUGCUGGGAUAAGAAGCGGCUACUACAACAUCCGGCACUUUGCAUGGGUUCCGGGGGAUCAAACUCCGGUCCUCCUGUCGAUGUGGCAAGCACUUUAUCAACCAAGCCAUCUCCCCAGCUCCUCCAGAUAAAAUUUUUAUAUGUGAGACAGGUGUCAGGAUGAAUAUGCCCCUGUGGAUAUCCAGUGGCUGCUGGGACGUUUAUUGAAGAGUAAUGUUGUCAAUCAAAUGGCCAUCCGUGUACAGAUCUGGCCUCCAUUCUGCCCUGAAUGGCCCCCAGUCCCUCUGGGUGCCUAUAGCACAGAUUUCAUGACUACGGCUUUUAUGAGAGCCCAUAUCUAGACUCUAUUUCAUCCUUUCAACCUUGUCCUUCACCACCGCAGCAAAGUCCCCCCCCUCUAAGCAAGGCCGGCUUGUCUUUCUAUUUAUUUAUUUGCCACUUUGUUUGCGCUUUUAGAAUUCAAAAUGAAAGAUUGUACCAACACCUCCAUAUAGAACUAAAAGCAAUGCUGAUAUUCUUUCUGUGCUUGAGACGGGGAGGAAGAGGGG